rnacentral:rRNA from 1 species
GAUGAACGCUGGCGGCGUGCUUAACACAUGCAAGUCGAACGAUGAAGCCCAGCUUGCUGGGUGGAUUAGUGGCGAACGGGUGAGUAACACGUGAGUAACCUGCCCUUAACUCUGGGAUAAGCCUGGGAAACUGGGUCUAACACCGGAUAGGAGCGCCUACCGCAUGGUGGGUGUUGGAAAGAUUUAUCGGUUUUGGAUGGACUCGCGGCCUAUCAGCUUGUUGGUGAGGUAAUGGCUCACCAAGGCGACGACGGGUAGCCGGCCUGAGAGGGUGACCGGCCACACUGGGACUGAGACACGGCCCAGACUCCUACGGGAGGCAGCAGUGGGGAAUAUUGCACAAUGGGCGAAAGCCUGAUGCAGCGACGCCGCGUGAGGGAUGACGGCCUUCGGGUUGUAAACCUCUUUCAGUAGGGAAGAAGCGAAAAUGACGGUACCUGCAGAAGAAGCACCGGCUAACUACGUG